UCCCUGGUGGUCCAAUGGUUAAGACUCUGAACUUCCAAUGCAGGGAGUGUGGGUUUGAGUCCUGGUCGGGGAU
rnacentral:tRNA from 1 species